GGAUCCCUGGCAGCUUGCUGCCGGGGUGAGAGUGGCGAACGGGUGAGUAAUGCGUGACCGACCUGCCCCAUGCACCGGAAUAGCUCCUGGAAACGGGUGGUAAUGCCGGAUGUUCCACAUGAGCGCAUGCGAGUGUGGGAAAGGCUUUUUGCGGCAUGGGAUGGGGUCGCGUCCUAUCAGCUUGUUGGUGGGGUAACGGCCUACCAAGGCGUUGACGGGUAGCCGGCCUGAGAGGGCGACCGGCCACAUUGGGACUGAGAUACGGCCCAGACUCCUACGGGAGGCAGCAGUGGGGAAUAUUGCACAAUGGGCGCAAGCCUGAUGCAGCGACGCCGCGUGCGGGAUGGAGGCCUUCGGGUUGUAAACCGCUUUUGUUCAAGGGCAAGGCACGGUUUCGGCCGUGUUGAGUGGAUUGUUCGAAUAAGCACCGGCUAACUACGUGCCAGCAGCCGCGGUAAUACGUAGGGUGCAAGCGUUAUCCGGAUUUAUUGGGCGUAAAGGGCUCGUAGGCGGUUCGUCGCGUCCGGUGUGAAAGUCCAUCGCUUAACGGUGGAUCCGCGCCGGGUACGGGCGGGCUUGAGUGCGGUAGGGGAGACUGGAAUUCCCGGUGUAACGGUGGAAUGUGUAGAUAUCGGGAAGAACACCAAUGGCGAAGGCAGGUCUCUGGGCCGUUACUGACGCUGAGGAGCGAAAGCGUGGGGAGCGAACAGGAUUAGAUACCCUGGUAGUCCACGCCGUAAACGGUGGAUGCUGGAUGUGGGGCCCUUUUUCCGGGUCCUGUGUCGGAGCUAACGCGUUAAGCAUCCCGCCUGGGGAGUACGGCCGCAAGGCUAAAACUCAAAGAAAUUGACGGGGGCCCGC
rnacentral:rRNA from 1 species